GCAGCCGCCGCGGUAAUACGUAGGUGGCAAGCGUUGUCCGGAAUUAUUGGGCGUAAAGGGCUCGCAGGCGGUUUCUUAAGUCUGAUGUGAAAGCCCCCGGCUCAACCGGGGAGGGUCAUUGGAAACUGGGAAACUUGAGCGCAGAAGAGGAGAGUGGAAUUCCACGUGUAGCGGUGAAAUGCGUAGAGAUGUGGAGGAACACCAGUGGCGAAGGCGACUCUCUGGUCUGUAACUGACGCUGAGGAGCGAAAGCGUGGGGAGCGAACAGGAUUAGAUACCCCCGUAGUCCCUGUCUCUUAUAA
rnacentral:rRNA from 1 species